CAGGGAUUGCCCCAGUAACGGCGAGUGAAGCGGCAAGAGCUCAAAUUUGAAAUCUGGCCUCCCCCGGGGGCCCGAGUUGUAAUUUGCAGAGGAUGUUUCGGGUGCGGCCGCCGUCUAAGUUCCUUGGAACAGGACGUCAGAGAGGGUGAGAAUCCCGUCUUGGGCGGGCGGUCCGCGCCCGUGUGAAGCUCCUUCGACGAGUCGAGUUGUUUGGGAAUGCAGCUCUAAGCGGGUGGUAAAUUUCAUCUAAAGCUAAAUAUUGGCCGGAGACCGAUAGCGCACAAGUAGAGUGAUCGAAAGGUUAAAAGCACCUUGAAAAGGGAGUUAAACAGCACGUGAAAUUGUUGAAAGGGAAGCGCUUGCGGCCAGACUCGGGGGCGGGGUUCAGCGGGUGCUCGUCGCCCGUGUAUUCCUCGUUUCCCGGGCCAGCAUCAGUUUCGACGGCCGGUCAAAGGCCCCCGGAAUGUGUCGUCUCUCGGGACGUCUUAUAGCCGGGGGUGCAAUGCGGCCCGUCGGGACUGAGGAACGCGCUCCGGCUCGGAUGC
rnacentral:rRNA from 1 species